CGUGCCUAACACAUGCAAGUCGAGCGAGAACGCCUCCUUCGGGAGGUUAGUAAAGCGGCGACGGGUGAGUAACACGUGAGCGAUCUGCCCGGCGGCGGGGGAUAACCCAGGGAAACCUGGGCUAAUACCGCAUACAGCACUGGCUUGGAAGCUGGAUGUGAAAGCUGGCCUCUCGAAGAAGCUGGCACCGUCGGAUGAGCUCGCGGCCUAUCAGCUAGUUGGUGGGGUAACGGCCCACCAAGGCGAUGACGGGUAGCUGGCGUGAGAGCGUGGCCAGCCACACUGGGACUGAGACACGGCCCAGACUCCUACGGGAGGCAGCAGUGGGGAAUAUUGCGCAAUGGGCGAAAGCCUGACGCAGCGACGCCGCGUGGGGGAGGAAGGCCUCAGGGUCGUAAACCCCUGUCAGGUGGGACGAACCACGGAUCGGUCAAUACCCGGUCCGCCUGACGGUACCACCAGAGGAAGCUCCGGCUAACUCCGUGCCAGCAGCCGCGGUAAUACGGAGGGAGCGAGCGUUGUUCGGAAUCACUGGGCGUAAAGGGCGCGUAGGCGGUCGGGUAAGUCGGGUGUGAAAUUCCGGGGCUCAACCCCGCGAACUGCACUCGAUACUGCUCGACUAGAGAGAGGUAGGGGCGAGUGGAAUUCCCGGUGUAGCGGUGGAAUGCGUAGAUAUCGGGAAGAACACCGGUGGCGAAGGCGGCUCGCUGGGCCUUUUCUGACGCUGAAGCGCGAAAGCGUGGGGAGCAAACAGGAUUAGAUACCCUGGUAGUCCACGCCGUAAACGAUGGGUACUAGGUGUUGGGAGGAUUGACCCUCUCAGUGCCGACGCUAACGCAUUAAGUACCCCGCCUGGGGGAGUACGGCCGCAAGGCUGAAACUCAAAGGAAUUGACGGGGGCCCGCACAA
rnacentral:rRNA from 1 species